AGAGUUUGAUCCUGGCUCAGGACGAACGCUGGCGGCACGCUUAACACAUGCAAGUCGAACGAGAGAAGAGAAGCUUGCUUUUCUGAUCUAGUGGCGGACGGGUGAGUAACACGUGAGCAAUCUGCCUUUCAGAGGGGGAUACCGAUUGGAAACGAUCGUUAAUACCACAUAAUAUAAUUGAACCGCAUGAUUUGAUUAUCAAAGAUUUAUCGCUGAAAGAUGAGCUCGCGUCUGAUUAGCUAGUUGGUAAGGUAACGGCUUACCAAGGCGACGAUCAGUAGCCGGACUGAGAGGUUGAUCGGCCACAUUGGGACUGAGACACGGCCCAGACUCCUACGGGAGGCAGCAGUGGGGAAUAUUGCACAAUGGAGGAAACUCUGAUGCAGCGAUGCCGCGUGAGGGAAGAAGGUUUUAGGAUUGUAAACCUCUGUCUUCAGGGACGAAAAAAGACGGUACCUGAGGAGGAAGCUCCGGCUAA
rnacentral:rRNA from 1 species